AGAGUUUGAUCAUGGCUCAGGANNNNCGCUGGCGGCGCGCUUAACACAUGCAAGUCGAGCGAGAACCGGUCCUUCGGGACCGGGGAAAGCGGCGAACGGGUGAGUAACACGUGGGUAAUCAACCCUCGGUACCGGGAUAGCCCGAGGAAACUCGGAUUAAUACCGGAUGGCCCAACAGCCUUUCGGGGCGGUUGGAAAAGGUAGCUUCGGCCUCCGACCGAGGACGAGCCCGCGGCGGAUUAGCUUGUUGGUGGGGUAACGGCCCACCAAGGCGACGAUCCGUAGCUGGUCUGAGAGGACGAUCAGCCACACUGGGACUGAGACACGGCCCAGACUCCUACGGGAGGCAGCAGUGGGGAAUCUUGCACAAUGGGCGAAAGCCUGAUGCAGCGACGCCGCGUGAGGGAAGAAGGCUUUCGGGUUGUAAACCUCUUUCAGGAGGGACGAAGCUACUCGGGUUAAUAGCCCAGAGGGUGACGGUACCUCCAGAAGAAGCCCCGGCUAACUACGUGCCAGCAGCCGCGGUAAUACGUAGGGGGCAAGCGUUGUCCGGAUUUAUUGGGCGUAAAGAGCGUGUAGGCGGCCAGGUAGGUCCGUUGUGAAAACUCGAGGCUCAACCUCGAGACGCCGAUGGAAACCCCCUGGCUAGAGUCCGGAAGAGGAGAGUGGAAUUCCUGGUGUAGCGGUGAAAUGCGCAGAUAUCAGGAAGAACACCCGUGGCUAAGGCGGCUCUCUAGUACGGUACUGACGCUGNNACGCNNNNGCGUGGGGAGCGNNNA
rnacentral:rRNA from 1 species